rnacentral:rRNA from 1 species
GACGAACGCUGGCGGCGUGCUUAACACAUGCAAGUCGAACGAUGAUGCCCAGCUUGCUGGGUGGAUUAGUGGCGAACGGGUGAGUAACACGUGAGUAACCUGCCCUUGACUUCGGGAUAACUCCGGGAAACCGGGGCUAAUACCGGAUAUGAGCCGCCUUCGCAUGGGGGUGGCUGGAAAGUUUUUCGGUCAGGGAUGGGCUCGCGGCCUAUCAGCUUGUUGGGGGGGUGAUGGCCUACCAAGGCGACGACGGGUAGCCGGCCUGAGAGGGCGACCGGCCACACUGGGACUGAGACACGGCCCAGACUCCUACGGGAGGCAGCAGUGGGGAAUAUUGCACAAUGGGCGAAAGCCUGAUGCAGCGACGCCGCGUGAGGGAUGAAGGCCUUCGGGUUGUAAACCUCUUUCAGCAGGGAAGAAGCGCAAGUGACGGUACCUGCAGAAGAAGCGCCGGCUAACUACGUGCCAGCAGCCGCGGUAAAAC